CAGCAGCCACGGUAAUACAGAGGGUGCAAGCGUUAAUCGGAAUUACUGGGCGUAAAGCGCGCGUAGGUGGUUUGUUAAGUCGGAUGUGAAAUCCCCGGGCUCAACCUGGGAACUGCAUCCGAAACUGGCAAGCUAGAGUAUGGUAGAGGGUAGUGGAAUUUCCUGUGUAGCGGUGAAAUGCGUAGAUAUAGGAAGGAACACCAGUGGCGAAGGCGACUACCUGGACUGAUACUGACACUGAGGUGCGAAAGCGUGGGGAGCAAACAGGAUUAGAUACCCCUGUAGUCCCUGUCUCUUAUAC
rnacentral:rRNA from 1 species